UAGCCUAGUGGUUAAGGCUAUGGAUCGCCAAUCUAGAGACGGCGGGUUCGAUUCCCGU
rfam:Aedes albopictus isolate Foshan contig78220, whole genome shotgun sequence.